rnacentral:tRNA from 1 species
UGGGUUGUAGCUCAGUGGUAGAACGCUCACCCAGCACAUGUGAGGCUUGGGUUCGAUCCUCAGCAGCACAU